rnacentral:rRNA from 1 species
AUACGGAGGAUGCAAGCGUUAUCCGGAUUUAUUGGGUUUAAAGGGUGCGUAGGCGGUUUGCUAAGCGGGAGGUGAAAUGCCGGCGCUCAACGUCGGAAGUGCCUCCCGAACUGGUGGACUUGAAUGACUCUGCCGUGGGAGGAAUGUGUAGUGUAGCGGUGAAAUGCUUAGAGAUUACACAGAACACCGAUUGCGAAGGCAUCUCACGAAGGGUUGAUUGACGCUGAGGCACGAAAGCGUGGGGAUCAAACAGGAUUAGAUACCCUGGUAGUCCGCACAGUAAACGACGGACACCCGCGGUUUGGCCUGUAUGGCUGAGCCGCCAAGCGAAAGCGUUAAGUGUCCCACCUGGGGAGUACGCCGGCAACGGUGAAACUCAAAGGAAUGGACGGGG